UGGGGAAUAUUGCACAAUGGGCGCAAGCCUGAUGCAGCCAUGCCGCGUGUAUGAAGAAGGCCUUCGGGUUGUAAAGUACUUUCAGUCGGGAGGAAGGUGGUAAGGUUAAUAACCUUAUCAAUUGACGUUACCGACAGAAGAAGCACCGGCUAACUCCGUGCCAGCAGCCGCGGUAAUACGGAGGGUGCAAGCGUUAAUCGGAAUUACUGGGCGUAAAGCGCACGCAGGCGGUUGAUUGAGUCAGAUGUGAAAUCCCCGGGCUUAACCCGGGAAUUGCAUCUGAUACUGGUCAGCUAGAGUCUUGUAGAGGGGGGUAGAAUUCCAUGUGUAGCGGUGAAAUGCGUAGGGAUGUGGAGGAAUACCGGUGGCGAAGGCGGCCCCCUGGACGAAGACUGACGCUCAGGUGCGAAAGCGUGGGGAGCAAACAGG
rnacentral:rRNA from 1 species